ACAAAAGUCCCGUAAUCGCGACUCCGAGGGCACCGAAGAGAUCUCUUGCGUCCGAAGGGCUAAAACUUCAUUGUGAUAAAGGAAUUGCUGGUCAUUGCACAACCACA
rnacentral:ribozyme from 1 species